GACGAACGCUGGCGGCGUGCCUAAUACAUGCCAGUAGAACGCUGUAGGAGGAGCUUGCUUCUCUGGAUGAGUUGCGAACGGGUGAGUAACGCGUAGGUAACCUGCCUGGUAGCGGGGGAUAACUAUUGGAAACGAUAGCUAAUACCGCAUAAUAGUAGAUGUUGCAUGACAUUUGCUUAAAAGUUGCAUUUGCUUCACUACCAGAGGGCCCUGCGUUGUAUUAGCUAGUUGGUGGGGUAACGGCUCACCAAGGCGACGAUACAUAGCCGACCUGAGAGGGUGAUCGGCCACACUGGGACUGAGACACGGCCCAGACUCCUACGGGAGGCAGCAGUAGGGAAUCUUCGGCAAUGGACGGAAGUCUGACCGAGCAACGCCGCGUGAGUGAAGAAGGUUUUCGGAUCGUAAAGCUCUGUUGUAAGAGAAGAACGAGUGUGAGAGUGGAAAGUUCACACUGUGACGGUAUCUUACCAGAAAGGGACGGCUAACUACGUG
rnacentral:rRNA from 1 species